rnacentral:rRNA from 1 species
GUGGAUUAGAUACCCUGGUAGUCCACGCCGUAAACGAUGAGUACUAGGUGUUGCGGGUAUUGACCCCUGCAGUGCCGCAGCUAACGCAUUAAGUACUCCGCCUGGGAAGUACGGUCGCAAGACUAAAACUCAAAGGAAUUGACGGGGGCCCGCACAAGCGGUGGAGCAUGUGGUUUAAUUCGACGCAACGCGAAGAACCUUACCUGGGCUUGACAUCUGUGGAACCUGGUGGAAACACCGGGGUGCCUUCGGGAGCCACAAGACAGGUGCUGCACGGCUGUCGUCAACU